UGUUGGCUGGGUUCCUUUUGAAAACCACUGUUAUUUCUUCAAUGAGACCUUUCUUAAUUGGAACGAAGCCAAGGUUCAAUGUGAAAACCAUGGAACUCAUCUUAUUGAGAUAGAUUCUCACGUGGAAAAUACCUGGGCCAUGGAAACCUUUCUACCGCCCUGGAAUGCUGUUGACUGCUCCAAAAGGUCGGAUUGCUGCAAAUGUUGGAUUGGCGCAACAGAUAUGGAGAUAGAAGGGGUUUUCACUUGGAAUCACCUCACCAAUAUCACGUAUUCAAACUGGUAUCCGGGCCAGCCUGAUAAUGUUAAUAUGGGACAUUGUGUCCGUUUUUGUCGCAGUGGAAACU